GUUUGAUCAUGGCUCAGAUUGAACGCUGGCGGCAUGCUUUACACAUGCAAGUCGAACGGCAGCACGGGUGCUUGCACCUGGUGGCGAGUGGCGAACGGGUGAGUAAUAUAUCGGAACAUGUCCGGAAGUGGGGGAUAACGUAGCGAAAGUUACGCUAAUACCGCAUAUGCCCUGAGGGGGAAAGGGGGGGAUCGCAAGACCUCUCGCUUUCGGAGUGGCCGAUAUCAGAUUAGCUAGUUGGUGAGGUAAAGGCUCACCAAGGCGACGAUCUGUAGCUGGUCUGAGGGGACGACCAGCCACACUGGGACUGAGACACGGCCCAGACUCCUACGGGAGGCAGCAGUGGGGAAUUUUGGACAAUGGGCGCAAGCCUGAUCCAGCCAUGCCGCGUGAGUGAAGAAGGCCUUCGGGUUGUAAAGCUCUUUCAGCCGGAAAGAAAUCGCACUGGUUAAUACCUUGUGUGGAUGACGGUACCGGAAGAAGAAGCACCGGCUAACUACGUGCCAGCAGCCGCGGUAAUACGUAGGGUGCGAGCGUUAAUCGGAAUUACUGGGCGUAAAGCGUGCGCAGGCGGUUUUGUAAGACAGACGUGAAAUCCCCGGGCUUAACCUGG
rnacentral:rRNA from 1 species